rnacentral:rRNA from 1 species
UGGGGAAUAUUGGACAAUGGGCGCAAGCCUGAUCCAGCCAUGCCGCGUGAGUGAUGAAGGCCCUAGGGUUGUAAAGCUCUUUCACCGGUGAAGAUAAUGACGGUAACCGGAGAAGAAGCCCCGGCUAACUUCGUGCCAGCAGCCGCGGUAAUACGAAGGGGGCUAGCGUUGUUCGGAUUUACUGGGCGUAAAGCGCACGUAGGCGGACUUUUAAGUCAGGGGUGAAAUCCCGGGGCUCAACCCCGGAACUGCCCUUGAUACUGGAAGUCUUGAGUAUGGUAGAGGUGAGUGGAAUUCCGAGUGUAGAGGUGAAAUUCGUAGAUAUUCGGAGGAACACCAGUGGCGAAGGCGGCUCACUGGACCAUUACUGACGCUGAGGUGCGAAAGCGUGGGGAGCAAACAGG